rnacentral:rRNA from 1 species
AUUGAACGCUGGCGGAAUGCUUUACACAUGCAAGUCGAACGAUGAAGUCUAGCUUGCUAGACGGAUUAGUGGCGAACGGGUGAGCAAUAUAUCGGAACGUAUCCAUUAAUGGGGGAUAACUAGUCGAAAGAUUGGCUAAUACCGCAUACGUCCUACGGGAGAAAGCUAGGGACCUUCGGGCCUGGCGUUAAUGGAGCGGCCGAUAUCUGAUUAGCCAGUUGGUGAGGUAAAGGCUCACCAAGGCGACGAUCAGUAGCUGGUCUGAGAGGACGACCAGCCACACUGGAACUGAGACACGGUCCAGACUCCUACGGGAGGCAGCAGUGGGGAAUUUUGGACAAUGGGCGCAAGCCUGAUCCAGCCAUUCCGCGUGAGUGAAGAAGGCCUUCGGGUUGUAAAGCUCUUUCGCAAGGGAAGAAAACUUACCCUCUAACCUAGGGUGAGGAUGACGGUACCUUGAUAAGAAGCACCGGCUAACUACGUGCCAGCCGCCGCGGUAAUAC